ACACACACACACACACACACACACAUUCAUAUACAUAUAACAUCUGUAUAGACAUACGUCUCUGUGUGUGUGUGUGUGUGU
rnacentral:miRNA from 1 species